GUGGGGAAUAUUGGGCAAUGGGCGAAAGCCUGACCCAGCAACGCCGCGUGAAGGAAGAAGGCUCUCGGGUUGUAAACUUCUUUGACAGGGGACGAAAUAAAUGACGGUACCCUGAAAACAAGCCACGGCUAACUACGUGCCAGCAGCCGCGGUAAUACGUAGGUGGCGAGCGUUGUCCGGAUUUACUGGGUGUAAAGGGCGUGUAGGCGGGGCGGUAAGUCAGAUGUGAAAUAUGGGGGCUCAACCCUCAAACUGCAUUUGAAACUAUCGUUCUUGAGUGAUGGAGAGGCAGGCGGAAUUCCGUGUGUAGCGGUGAAAUGCGUAGAUAUACGGAGGAACACCAGUGGCGAAGGCGGCCUGCUGGACAUUAACUGACGCUGAGGCGCGAAAGCGUGGGGAGCAAACAGGAUUAGAUACCCCGGUAGUCC
rnacentral:rRNA from 1 species